ACCACCUGCUCUGCUCUAAAUCCUUGGGGGACAGAGUGGACUCAUUCAUCUCUGAACUCCCAGCCCCCAGGCGCUCAGAAGGCACUCAGGCCACAUUUGGGGAUGCAAUGCCAGAUGGAGGGAUGGAUGACUCCUGAUCCUCACAGCACUGGCCAUUGGCAGUCUCCUCUUCCAAGUCACAGGGAUCCGGGAUCUUGAAAGGAGCAGACUAGAGUCCUCCUUGAUGACAAGAGGCUCACUUUGAGCCAGAGAGGCCCCGAAGCAGGAUGGAGAGGCCAGGUCCUGCCACUCUCUGCAUCACAGUUUCCCCACCUAAAAAACAUGGGCUUCACCAAACCAGAUAAUCUCCAGUGGUUCUCCCCAUACUGGUGCCCAAAGCAUCUGAAUUUUAAAAUUCAGGCUAAUUUUUUGUUCUACUCAAUAAAUAUUUAUGUUUAUUCUACUAUAAAAA